UGAAACAGCAGUUCAGAUCUGCUAACAAGA
rnacentral:piRNA from 1 species